rnacentral:rRNA from 1 species
GGACGAACGCUGGCGGCGUGCUUAACACAUGCAAGUCGAACGGAAAGGCCCUGCUUUUGUGGGGUGCUCGAGUGGCGAACGGGUGAGUAACACGUGAGUAACCUGCCCUUGACUUUGGGAUAACUUCAGGAAACUGGGGCUAAUACCGGAUAGGAGCUCCUGCUGCAUGGUGGGGGUUGGAAAGUUUCGGCGGUUGGGGAUGGACUCGCGGCUUAUCAGCUUGUUGGUGGGGUAGUGGCUUACCAAGGCUUUGACGGGUAGCCGGCCUGAGAGGGUGACCGGCCACAUUGGGACUGAGAUACGGCCCAGACUCCUACGGGAGGCAGCAGUGGGGAAUAUUGCACAAUGGGCGGAAGCCUGAUGCAGCAACGCCGCGUGCGGGAUGACGGCCUUCGGGUUGUAAACCGCUUUCGCCUGUGACGAAGCGUGAGUGACGGUAAUGGGUAAAGAAGCACCGGCUAACUACGUGCCAGCAGCCGCGGUGAUACGUAGGGUGCGAGCGUUGUCCGGAUUUAUUGGGCGUAAAGGGCUCGUAGGUGGUUGAUCGCGUCGGAAGUGUAAUCUUGGGGCUUAACCCUGAGCGUGCUUUCGAUACGGGUUGACUUGAGGAAGGUAGGGGAGAAUGGAAUUCCUGGUGGAGCGGUGGAAUGCGCAGAUAUCAGGAGGAACACCAGUGGCGAAGGCGGUUCUCUGGGCCUUUCCUGACGCUGAGGAGCGAAAGCGUGGGGAGCGAACAGGCUUAGAUACCCUGGUAGUCCACGCUGUAAACGGUGGGUACUAGGUGUGGGGUCCAUUCCACGGGUUCCGUGCCGUAGCUAACGCUUUAAGUACCCCGCCUGGGGAGUACGGCCGCAAGGCUAAAACUCAAAGGAAUUGACGGGGCCCCGCACAAGCGGCGGAGCAUGCGGAUUAAUUCGAUGCAACGCGUAGAACCUUACCUGGGUUUGACAUGGAUCGGGAGUGCUCAGAGAUGGGUGUGCCUCUUUUGGGGUCGGUUCACAGGUGGUGCAUGGCUGUCGUCAGCUCGUGUCGUGAGAUGUUGGGUUAAGUCCCGCAACGAGCGCAACCCUUGUUCACUGUUGCCAGCACGUUAUGGUGGGGACUCAGUGGAGACCGCCGGGGUCAACUCGGAGGAAGGUGGGGAUGACGUCAAGUCAUCAUGCCCCUUAUGUCCAGGGCUUCACGCAUGCUACAAUGGCUGGUACAGAGAGUGGCGAGCCUGUGAGGGUGAGCGAAUCUCGGAAAGCCGGUCUCAGUUCGGAUUGGGGUCUGCAACUCGACCUCAUGAAGUCGGAGUCGCUAGUAAUCGCAGAUCAGCAACGCUGCGGUGAAUACGUUCCCGGGGCUUGUACACACCGCCCGUCAAGUCAUGAAAGUUGGUAACACCCGAAGCCGGUGGCCUAACCGUUGUGGGGGAGCCGUCGAAGGUGGGACUGGUG